GACGAACGCUGGCGGCGUGCUUAACACAUGCAAGUCGAACGGAAAGGCCCGGCUUUUGCUGCGUGCUCGAUUGGCGAACGGGUGUGUAACACGUGAGUAACCUCCCCUUGACUUUGGGAUAUCUUCACGAAACUGGGGCUAAUAUCGGAUAUGAUCUCCUGCUGCAUGGUGGGGGUUGGUAAGUUUCGGCGGUUGGGGAUGGACUCGCGGCUUCUCAGCUUGUUGGGGGGGUAGUUGCGUACCAAGGUUUUGACGGGUAGGCGGCAUGGGAGGGUGACCGGCCACAAUAGUACUGAGGGAGGCCGCAGACGGGUACGGGAGGCAGCAGUGGAAAAUAUUGCGCAAUGGGCGGGAGCCUGAUGCAGAAGCGCCCCGUUCGGGAUGACCGCCUACGAGUGAUAAACCGCUGUCGACUGUAACAUGGCGUGAGUGACGGUAAUGGAUAAAGAAGCACCGGCUAACUACGUG
rnacentral:rRNA from 1 species